rnacentral:lncRNA from 10 species
GUACGCAUCAGGGGCGGAGCUGGACUCGGGGGGCGGGGCUGGGGAGAGGGUGGCCCCUGCACACUAGUCCCCUCCCCUCGACCCCGCAGCCCCGCGGCGCGUUUCCUGAGGCGCCCCCGCCACGUCCCGCGAGUCUCUGCCAAGUUCCCGCGCGGGUGCGCCCCGGUCGCGCCCUCCCUGCGCCCGCCCAGGCCUGGGGAGCUCUGUGGGUGGAAGCCGGCGCCCCCUGGGGGCACCCGGGCGUGGCGAGGGCCUCGGCGGUCGGGAGGCCUCUGCGGGGCAGCGGUCGGGAGCGAGGCCACGGGGCGCCAGUUUCGUCGUGUUUUGUACUUAAGUUGAGGAUUCCACACCGUGUGGUACUUUCAGAAGAGAUGUAGUGGUGAAUCAAUCGCAACGGUUGUGAUGUUUUCCUAAUUAGGUAUUGAGAAUUACCAUUGGUAUUUGGAAUUAGAUUGCGGAGCAUUUAGGAACCGUUCUCGCUAUGUUGCCCAGGCUGGUCUUGAACUCCUCAGCUGAAAUGAGCCUCCCACCUCGGCCUCCCAAAGUGCUGGGAUUACAGGCGUCCCCUCUGCCCCAGUACUGUUUCCUCUCCCCAGCCCAGCCCCCACAGCUGCCUGCCCUGGCCUCACUCCCUGGCCUCCCCCAUCCCAGCCUCUGGGUCCCUGAGUCAGUCCCUGGGGCUGUCUGCCUUCUAGGGGAGCCUCUGGUGUGGACCAGAAAGUAACCUAAUCCCUUCCAGGCCCACCCUGGAAACAAAGGGAUUUGUCCACUAGCCUGGUGGUGAGAACCAUGUGGCCUCCUGUCUCUGGCAGAGAGGACUCCAGGAUCAAGGGCAGGUAAAAGGAGGAGCCUCCUGGGGAGCUUCAGAAGGAGGGUCCCAAGUCCCUCCUGCCCCACUUCUGUGCCUGGGUCACUCACACCCCUGCCUGACUCUAGCCCCCCUUCUCCAGGGGUCUCCACAACAUGUGAAUCAUGCCCAGCGUCUUCCAUUACACCCUUGAUAAAGUCCUCUCCUCACCAGGACCUCUGUCAUUUUACCUCAUGGUUUUGAAAUAAUUUUUGGUCUUCUUAGCAGUUUAAAAAUAUUGUUUUGUUUUUUUUCCUGAGUUUGGAGCAUUCCUGUUACUAAUUACAUUUUUUUUUUAGACAGGUGUACACUACUACACCCAGCUAAUUUGUUUUGUUUUGUUUUGUUUUGGUAGAGAUAGGAUCUUGCUAUGGUACCCAGGCUGGUCUUCAACUCCUGGGCUCAAGCAAUCCUCCUGCAUUGGCCUCCCAAAGUGCUGGAAUUACAGGCAUGAGGCAGCACGCCCAGCCCUAAUUACUUCUAUUACGCCAAAUUCCUUGUGUGGAAUUCCUGUGCUUUGCACACAAAUUGCCAGGUUGGCCCCAAAGGGGAAAAAAGUGGAUCCCAUUUUCCCAUCUUCUAUGCCUACGUGGCUGACAAAUCUCCCGAAUCCCACAGGAGCUGUCGCUGAUCUUUGUCCUCUAUUCGCUGAAAUAAAGUUCACCAUGGAUUUCUGCUUCUUUUAUUCAUUGUCAGUCCACACAUAGGGACAAAUUCCUGUGCUCUCAUUAGAAAGCCAUUUGCUAAGUGAGAACUCCGGGGAGGCCAGGCCUGAAGGAGAGCUUGCUGUCAGUCAUUUCGAUCAGGGACGGGGCAGAGUCCAUUGUCACAGGUGGAGCUGCCCAGCCAUUCCCCGCCCCUAGGAAGUCUGGGCUGACUGGGGGAGGGAGUGCUUA